UUACUUACCUGGCAGGGGAGAUGUCCUUGUUGUCGAUCUUGAAUGACUUGGUGUAGUUAGAGGGUGAAGGCCUGUCCCUUGCACUGUGGGAAAGCACCCCUGUGAGAGUCCACAAAUGCCUUCCAAUGCAAGGAUCUCAGCUACCCAAUUUAUGGCAAUAGGGGAUUGAUCUCAGGCUUUCCCUCUC
rnacentral:snRNA from 14 species